AGACGACUGUUACUUUCCUUUUUUUUUUAGUGCUUCAGCAUUUCCUGAUACCAUCAGAGACCACAGGUGGAGUGUUGAAAAUAAGCAAGAAAGAGUUUUCUCCUGAUGAGUUGUCCAGACAGACAUAACUAAAGAGAUGAGCAGCUACCCAUAUCCUAGGUAUGGUCUGUUUUCAGAGGCACGGCAAACCAAGUCAAGAGCCAGAAGCAAGGGAUUCCGUGACUGUUGUGGUAAAUUGCCUGUGAUCAAAUGUCGUGGGUCAUGGCUGUGUUCCAAAUUUAUUGCAGAAGAACCUGGCUCAGGAGAGCCAGUGAUGGAGAAGACGCCUCAUACUGCAGCAUCUACUAGUAAUUCCUAAUUUUACUCCAAGACAGAUGUGAUAUAAAUGAUUCAGCUGAGCUUGAGAGUGUCCUGAAGCUUGUACCUUUCAAAAGAGCCACAGUCCAACUUCAAUGUUGCAAAAAACAAGCUGCAAGCAAAGGCUGACAUAUAACGGAGUUGUUAAUAAGUACAAAACAUUGCUUUCCAUAUGCAAUAUUUAAAAUAUACCAGGAGAAGAAUCACUGGAACAAGGAUCUUUACUAUAGGCUUGCAGUCAUUAUCACUCAGCUCUGUCAGACAUUAUGUUAUCCUCCAUUCUUUUACAUUUAGCCAAAAUUUCGAAUUACACGAUUACUGCAUGUAUUCAGUAAAGAGGA
rnacentral:lncRNA from 12 species